AUUGAACGCUGGCGGAAUGCUUUACACAUGCAAGUCGAGCGGCAGCGCGGGGCAACCUGGCGGUGAGCGGCGAACGGGUGAGUAAUGCAUCGGAACAUGUCCAUGUCGUGGGGGAUAGCCCGGCGAAAGCCGGAUUAAUACCGCAUACGCCCGAGAGGGGAAAGUGGGGGACCGCAAGGCCUCACGCGAUUGGGUCGGCCGAUGUCCGAUUAGCUAGUUGGUGGGGUAAAGGCCUACCAAGGCGAUGAUCGGUAGCUGGUCUGAGAGGAUGAUCAGCCACACUGGGACUGAGACACGGCCCAGACUCCUACGGGAGGCAGCAGUGGGGAAUUUUGGACAAUGGGGGCAACCCUGAUCCAGCCAUUCCGCGUGAGUGAAGAAGGCCUUCGGGUUGUAAAGCUCUUUUGUCCGGAACGAAACGGUGCUCGUGAAUAUCGAGCGCUACUGACGGUACCGGAAGAAUAAGCACCGGCUAACUACGUGCCAGCAGCCGCGGUAAUAC
rnacentral:rRNA from 1 species